GAUGAACGCUGGCGGCGUGCCUAAUACAUGCAAGUCGAGCGAACGGACGAGAAGCUUGCUUCUCUGAUGUUAGCGGCGGACGGGUGAGUAACACGUGGAGAACCUACCUAUAAGACUGGGAUAACUUCGGGAAACCGGAGCUAAUACCGGAUAAUAUUUUGAACCGCAUGGUUCAAAAGUGAAAGACGGUCUUGCUGUCACUUAUAGAUGGAUCCGCGCUGCAUUAGCUAGUUGGUAAGGUAACGGCUUACCAAGGCAACGAUGCAUAGCCGACCUGAGAGGGUGAUCGGCCAGACUGGAACUGAGACACGGCCCAGACUCCGACGGGAGGCAGCAGUAGGGAAUCUUCCGCAAUGGGCGAAAGCCUGACGGAGCAACGCCGCGUGAGUGAUGAAGGUCUUCGGAUCGUAAAACUCUGUUAUUAGGGAAGAACAUAUGUGUAAGUAACUGUGCACAUCUUGACGGUACCUAAUCAGAAAGCCACGGCUAACUACGUG
rnacentral:rRNA from 1 species